GGAACAUUUUUCAAGAUAGAUCAUAUGUUAGGCCACAAAACAAUCUUAAUAAAUUUAAGAGGAUUGGAAUCAUAUGAAGCAUCUUUUCUGGCCACAAUGGUAUGAAACUAGAAAUUAAUUACAUGAAGAA